rnacentral:piRNA from 1 species
UCUAAAGAGAGACCUGACCAGCCACAUGU